UACGUAGGGUGCGAGCGUUGUCCGGAAUUAUUGGGCGUAAAGGGCUCGUAGGCGGUUUGUCACGUCGGGAGUGAAAACUCGGGGCUCAACCCCGAGCCUGCUUCCGAUACGGGCAGACUAGAGGUAUGCAGGGGAGAAUGGAAUUCCUGGUGUAGCGGUGAAAUGCGCAGAUAUCAGGAGGAACACCGGUGGCGAAGGCGGCAUCCUGGACCGAAACUGACGCUGAGGAGCGAAAGCCAGGGGAGCAAACGGG
rnacentral:rRNA from 1 species